rnacentral:rRNA from 1 species
UCUGAAUCUGCGAACGGCUCCGCAAACCAGUUGUAAACUAUAGCAAGCAAGCCUUGUGCCUGCCUUCACGGGUGGGUGCUUGGCGAUAUGGAUAACCCUGGUAAUUCUGAGGCUAAUACAAGAACGUAAAACCUGGCUGACUGCUUUCGUGGAAGGCUGGGGGACGUGCGAGUUGUGUCGCGAGAAUUUUCCGGGAAUGGACGCACGUUCAGACCGCGCUAAAAAGGAUCGGCUUCCCUUCACGGGGGGGCUGGCCCCAGCGGCUCUUGCUUUGUGCUUCUGACCUAUCAACUAGAUGGCAGCGUAACGGACAUGCUAUGGUGACAACG